GAGUUUGAUCCUGGCUCAGAACAAACGCUGGCGGCGUGCCUAAUACAUGCAAGUCGAACGAGUAGCAAUACUAGUGGCGCACGGGUGAGGAAUAUAUGGGUAAUCUGCCCUCGAGUUGGGGAUAACCAGUCGAAAGACUGGCUAAUACCGGAUAAGACCACAGGAUCUGCGGAUCUAGGGGUUAAAGUUUUUUCGCUUGAGGAUGAACCCAUACGGGAUUAGCUAGUUGGUGAGGUAAUGGCUCACCAAGGCUACGAUCCCUAACUGGUCUUAGAGGAUGAUCAGUCACACUGGAACUGAGACACGUCC
rnacentral:rRNA from 1 species